GCAUAAUCACUCGUUUUUUAAUUAAAAACUAGAACAAAAGAUUUAACAUUUUAAUAAAUUUCUUAAAUUUUAUUCUUAAAAUUAUUUUAAAUGUAAAAAAACAUUUAUAAAAAAGGUAGACGACAAGACCCUAUUGAACUUAACUAUAGUUUAACUGGGGCAGUUAAUUAAUUAUUACUUUAAUUAAAAUAUUACAAAAAAUAGACCUAAUAAAAUUAAUUACAUAAUCAAGCUACCAUAGGGAUAACAGCAUAAUAAUUAACUAAAGUUCUUAUAUAAUUAUUAAAUUGUGACCUCGAUGUUGAAUUAAUAUUCUUUAUAAACGCAAUAGUUUUAAUAGAAAGUCUGUUCGACUUUUAAAAAAUUACA
rnacentral:rRNA from 1 species